ACACGACUACAUUAGAUACCCCGGUAGUCCCAGCCCUAAACGAUGCGCGUUAGGUGUAUCGGUGACCACGAGUCACCGAGGUGCCGAAGGGAAACCGUGAAACGUGCCGCCUGGGAAGUACGGUCGCAAGGCUAGAAACUUAAAGGAAUUGGCGGGGGAGCACCACAACGGGUGGAGCCUGCGGUUUAAUUGGACUCAACGCCGGGAAGCUCACCGGAUAAGACAGCGGAAUGAUUGCCGGGCUGAAGACCCUGCAUGACCAGCUG
rnacentral:rRNA from 1 species